rnacentral:rRNA from 1 species
UACGUAGGGUGCAAGCGUUGUCCGGAAUUAUUGGGCGUAAAGAGCUCGUAGGCGGUCUGUCGCGUCGGCUGUGAAAUCCCGAGGCUCAACCUCGGGUCUGCAGUCGAUACGGGCAAACUGGAGUACUGCAGGGGAGACUGGAAUUCCUGGUGUAGCGGUGAAAUGCGUAGAUAUCAUUUGGAACGCCAAUGGUGAAAACAGGUAGCUGGGAGUGUGCUGACACUGAGACACGAAAGCCGGGGGAGCAAACGGG